UAGAAUACCAAACGUAUGGAAUUAUGUUUCCACUGGUAUUUGUAUUGCUGCUGUUGGAUUUGGAAAUUUUGUAUUCGUUUAGUUGUGAACAUGCAAACGGAACAUGCUGCUACCAAUUUGUUUGGGACAGCGUACAAAAAAAUUGUUUACCUUGUAAACUUGGAUAUUAUGGACAGAACUGUGGCACAAAGUGCCCGAUACCACUUUAUGGAUCUUUAUGUACUUCAAGAUGUAACUGUAGUGCCAAGGACUGUGAUUAUAUCAGCGGCUGUAAACAAUCGUCAACGUUAAAACUAACGUCAAUGUCAACAGGUAAACCAUUGUCAACGUC